UGGGGAAUAUUGCACAAUGGGCGAAAGCCUGAUGCAGCAACGCCGCGUGAGGGACGACGGCCUUCGGGUUGUAAACCUCUUUUAGCAAGGAAGAAGCGAAAGUGACGGUACUUGCAGAAAAAGCGCCGGCUAACUACGUGCCAGCAGCCGCGGUAAUACGUAGGCGCAAGCGUUAUCCGGAAUUAUUGGGCGUAAAGAGCUCGUAGGCGGUUUGUCGCGUCUGCUGUGAAAACCCGAGGCUCAACCUCGGGCCUGCAGUGGGUACGGGCAGACUAGAGUGCGGUAGGGGAGAUUGGAACUCCUGGUGUAGCGGUGGAAUGCGCAGAUAUCAGGAAGAACACCGAUGGCGAAGGCAGAUCUCUGGGCCGUAACUGACGCUGAGGAGCGAAAGGGUGGGGAGCAAAACAGGCUUAGAUACCCUGGUAGUCCACCCGUAAACGUUGGGAACUAGUUGUGGGGUCCAUUCCACGGAUUCCGUGACGCAGCUAACGCAUUAAGUUCCCCGCCUGGGGAGUACGGCCGCAAGGCUAAAACU
rnacentral:rRNA from 1 species